UCGGAAAAAAUAGAUUAUCAAAUAAGAAAGAGGUUUGCACAAAAUUCAAACCAAAAGCAACUAAAUAGUUAAAUUUAGGUAUGGAUGAGAAAAGCGACAAGCCUUUAAUUAGUUUUCCAAAUUGUGAUCAAGAACAGUCAAAGCAAGAUGAAGCUAUCGGCUAUCGGCUUAUACUAAUCCAUUAAAUCAAGCAACUGUUAACAUACAACCUCAACCAUAUGUUAUAUAUCCUUCAACAUAUUACAACUUUGCUUGGCUCGCUAGUUUAUUUUGUUGUUUGCCUCUUGGUGCUGUCGCGAUAUACUACUCACGUAAAGCACAGAUCGCUAUCAAUGAAGGAAAUAUUGAAAAUGCAAGAUAUGCUUCAAAAUUAGCAAGAAAUUUGGUUAUAGGGUCAGUUGCAAUUGGUUUAAAUUUCAUCUGGAUUCCUAUGGUAGUAAGGUUCUUAACUAAUGGUAAAAUCUUCUAGUUCUCGUCUUCUGAAACGUACAACUGUUUACUGAAUAAAACUUGGUGUUAAGACGAAUCUGCAAUAUUCUUGUUCUUGCAACCUUUAUAUUUAUUAGUACACAAUACUUGUAAAUAUCAUAUGCACGGUUUAAAAAAUAGAAAAAAUAAUGACAAAAAAAAAACAGUAAAAAAUAACAAACUAGAAGUUAGUUUACUCUGCGUUCGUAAAUGCAUAAAGUUUUUAGAGCAUUAACAAACUAAGAAUUUAAAGUUUAUAUUUUAUUAAAUAAAUAUACU
rnacentral:lncRNA from 1 species